rnacentral:rRNA from 1 species
AGUGGCGGACGGGUGAGUAACACGUAAGAAUUUGCCCUUAGGAGGGGGACAACAACUGGAAACGGUUGCUAAUACCCCAUAUGCUUUCGAGUGAAAUGGAUUUUUCCGCCUAAAGAGAAGCUUGCGGCUGAUUAGCUUGUUGGUGAGGUAAUGGCUCACCAAGGCGACGAUCAGUAUCUGGUUUGAGAGGAUGAUCAGACACACUGGAACUGAGACACGGUCCAGACUCCUACGGGAGGCAGCAGUGGGGAAUUUUCCGCAAUGGGCGAAAGCCUGACGGAGCAAUCUCGCGUGAGGGAUGACGGCCUAUGGGUUGUAAACCUCUUUUUUCAGGGAGGAACAAAAUGACGUGUACCUGAAGAAUAAGCAUCGGCUAACUCCGUGCCAGCAGCCGCGGUAAGACGGAGGAUGCAAGUGUUAUCCGGAAUCACUGGGCGUAAAGCGUCUGUAGGUGGUUUAAUAAGUCAACUGUUAAAUCUUGAAGCUCAACUUCAAAAUCGCAGUCGAAACUAUUAGACUAGAGUAUAGUAGGGGUAAAGGGAAUUUCCAGUGGAGCGGUGAAAUGCGUAGAUAUUGGAAAGAACACCGAUGGCGAAGGCACUUUACUGGGCUAUUACUGACACUCAGAGACGAAAGCUAGGGUAGCAAAUGGGAUUAGAUACCCCAGUAGUCCUAGCCGUAAACAAUGGAUACUAGAUGU